CGCGUAGGUGGUUUGAUAAGCGAGAUGUAAAAGCCCCGGGCUUAACCUGGGAACGGCAUUUCGAACUGUCAGGCUAGAGUAUGGUAGAGGAGUGUGGAAUUUCCUGUGUAGCGGUGAAAUGCGUAGAUAUAGGAAGGAACACCAGUGGCGAAGGCGGCACUCUGGACCAAUACUGACACUGAGGUGCGAAAGCGUGGGGAGCAAACA
rnacentral:rRNA from 1 species